GGGGGAUUAGCUCAGUUGGGAGAGCGCGUGAAUGGCAUUCACGAGGUCAGGGGUUCGAGCCCCCUAUCCUCCA
rnacentral:tRNA from 1 species